AUUAGCUAGUUGGUAAGGUAACGGCUUACCAAGGCAACGAUGCAUAGCCGACCUGAGAGGGUGAUCGGCCACACUGGAACUGAAACACGGUCCAGACUCCUACGGGAGGCAGCAGUAGGGAAUCUUCCGCAAUGGGCGAAAGCCUGACGGAACAACGCCGCGUGAGUGAUGAAGGGNUUCGGAUCGUAAAACUCUGUUAUUAGGGAAGAACAAAUGUGUAAGUAACUGUGCACAUCUUGACGGUACCUAAUCAGAAAGCCACGGCUAACUACGUGCCAGCAGCCGCGGUAAUACGUAGGUGGCAAGCGUUAUCCGGAAUUAUUGGGCGUAAAGCGCGCGUAGGCGGUUUUUUAAGUCUGAUGUGAAAGCCCACGGCUCAACCGUGGAGGGUCAUUGGAAACUGGGAAACUUGAGUGCAGAAGAGGAAAGUGGAAUUCCAUGUGUAGCGGUGAAAUGCGCAGAGAUAUGGAGGAACACCAGUGGCGAAGGCGACUUUCUGGUCUGUAACUGACGCUGAUGUGCGAAAGCGUGGGGAUCAAACAGGAUUAGAUACCCUGGUAGUCCACGCCGUAAACGAUGAGUGCUAAGUGUUAGGGGGUUUCCGCCCCUUAGUGCUGCA
rnacentral:rRNA from 1 species